GAUGAACGCUGGCGGCGUGCCUAAUACAUGCAAGUCGAGCGAACAGACGAGGAGCUUGCUCCUCUGACGUUAGCGGCGGACGGGUGAGUAACACGUGGAUAACCUACCUAUAAGACUGGGAUAACUUCGGGAAACCGGAGCUAAUACCGGAUAAUAUAUUGAACCGCAUGGUUCAAUAGUGAAAGACGGUUUUGCUGUCACUUAUAGAUGGAUCCGCGCCGCAUUAGCUAGUUGGUAAGGUAACGGCUUACCAAGGCGACGAUGCGUAGCCGACCUGAGAGGGUGAUCGGCCACCCUGGAACUGAGACACGGUCCAGACUCCUACGGGAGGCAGCAGUAGGGAAUCUUCCGCAAUGGGCGAAAGCCUGACGGAGCAACGCCGCGUUAGUGAUGAAGGUCUUCGGAUCGUAAAACUCUGUUAUUAGGGAAGAACAAAUGUGUAAGUAACUAUGCACGUCUUGACGGUACCUAAUCAGAAAGCCACGGCUAACUACGUG
rnacentral:rRNA from 1 species